ensembl:lncRNA novel transcript
AGGCACCAAUCUGCUGGCACCUUGAUCUCGGACUUCCCAGCCUCCAGAACUGUGAGCAAUAAAUUUGUUGUUUUUAAGCCGCCCAGUCUGUGAUGUUUUGUUUUAGCAUCCCAGACUAAGUAAGGGUUUAAAAGAGGUGAUUAAGUUAAAAUGAGGUCAUCAGGGUGCACCCCAGUCCGACAUAGCUGAUGUCCUUAUAAGAAGAGGAAAUUAGGACACAGACAUAUGCCAUGUGAAGACGCAGGGAGAAUGUGACAUCUGCAAGCCAAGGAGAGAGGCUGCAGGAGAAACCAGCUCUGCUGACACUUUGAUCUCAAGCUCUGGCCACCAGAACUGUGAGCAAAUAAGUGUCUGUUGUUUAGGGCACCCUGUCCAUGGCACCUUGCUCCGAUAGCCCCAGGAAACGAAUCCACAGAGGAGGAAGCCGAGGUUGGGAAAGGUGGAGGGACUUGCCCAAGUCACACAAACGACAACUCAGCAGAGCUGAGAAUUGGCACCCAGGGCAACUGGAGUCCAUCCUGAGCUUGUCACUGCUGGGCUCUGAGACCUCCUGGUGAAGAAGGACAGUGGCAGAGACAGCCCGACCCAGAGAAACCCAGCAACGCUACUUUCUAAGGGCAUUUUUCCCUCUCAUUUGGAAUCCUGAGCCUCCUGCUCGUCCUGUAGGCCACACCCAGCAAACAGGUGGGUUUCAUUUCCUGGAGAAACCACAGAUGGAAAGUCCCAGCCAUGGGCUCCGUGUGACCUGGUGGCCUUAAGAAGCUCCCCCCACCGCCCCUCAGCCCUUUAAUCAUUUACAAAGCAGGGCCACACAGAGCAUCUAUUUUCUUUCUGGAACAUCAGAGCUGGCUGGGAACUGGGAGAAGAGCUGGAGCAACAGCCUGCAUCCAUUUCCUCUUGCUGCAAUAACAACUGAUCACAAGGUCAGUGGCUUAAACAACACAGAUUUACUCUCUUACAGUCUGAAGUAAGAGCCAAGAUGUCAGCGGGGCCGUGUUGCUUCCAGAGGCCCUAGGGAAAUCCAUUUCCUUGCACUUCCAGCUUCUAGAGGCCACCUGCGUUCCUUAGCUUGUGGCCUCAUCCUCAUUCUUCAAAGCCAGGCAUGUAGCAUCUUCCGGCUCCUCUCUCUCGCUCUGACCUUCCUGCCUCUCUGUUACAAGGAUCCACUUUUGUGGCUAAAAUGGGUCCAUCCUCCCCAGCCUGAAUGUGAAGACCCCCUCCUCCACGGCACCCCAUUGCCCAGGACAAGGAUGGGGCCCAUCACUGCUGCCCAGAGGAUAGGGAGACCCUCUCCAGGUUUCCUGGGAAGGCAUCAAGAUGUUCCCAAGGCUCAAAGAAAAAAGAAAUGGCUGGGCAUGGUGGCUCAUGCCUGUGAUCCGAGCUCUUUGGGAGACCAAGGCAGGAGAACCACUUGAGCCCAGGAGUUUGAAACCAGCUUGGACAGUGAUGGGCAAACCCCAUCUCUACAAAAAAUAAAAAAGUUAGCUGGAUGUGGUGGUGCACACCUGUAGUCCCCAACUAUUUUGAAGCGAGAUCACUUGAGGCCUUGAGGCUGGGAGGUUAAGGCUGCAGUCAGCCAUGACUGCUCCACUGCACUCCAGCCUGGGCAACACCGUGAGCCCUGAUCUCAAAAAUAAAUAAAUAAACAAAUAAAGAU